AGAGGCACCUAAAAGGAAGCCUGCAAGCCUGUGGGAAGAAAGAAGAUGGUAAUUGGAGAUAACAAGCAGCAAGAAGAUGGUGCAAAAAACUAAAAGAGUGCCUUUGUGGGAGGUCUGCAGUGAGUGACCAUCCUCUCCCAGAAGCAAGGAGAAAAUAAGGUGAAGCAGUGUUUCUUCUAAUGUCCUGUGGUACCUCCUGUUAAAUUCAUCCCCAAUCAGAGCCAGCUGAUGGCCAACCUGAGUAGCUAAGCUGCAAAGCAGUCAGGAUGUGCACGUUAGAGGAGAACCCUGCAACAGCAAUUCUUUAAAAGCACUCUGCAAAUGUCAGGAUUUUUUAUAUAUUCAGAGUUMUGAAGAGCUGUGUAGUUUAGCAGUGAYAAAGAGAAGCUGGGAUCACGUCUUCUGAAUUUUAUUGAAACAACUGUGAGCAGAGUUGCGUGACCCAACCCUMUGAGAGGAAAUACUGCAGCCUUCCUUACAAAGGAACACCUAUCUGAACAUAUUUUACAGACUCAGUGCUAGUUUCACAUUCGUGGGACCAUAUAACGGAAAUGUCUAUAUCUGUGUUUUGGGCUCUUCUAUGAGCUCUGUCAGAUGAGCAGCAGUUGCCCUCRACCUCUGGCUCUCUUCCCUUGCAGGUCAGAUUCUGUGAGCCGUGGGCAGCACACACCUCAUGGGCACCAGCCCAUCCCUGACCCUCCCCUCACAGGGAAACCUGCCUUUGGAAUCACCACAGCUCAUGGCAAAAUGUUACAAGGGUCUACUGAUUCCUUCAGUGCUCACAAAUAUAUUUCAAUGGCUUCUAAACUGAAACAAGAAACAAGGAGUGUCUGCUUUUAGUAAAUUAAACAUUGAAUUCCCAAGAGGUUUCAUGGGAAGCACUAAGAACAUUGAAGGGAAAAAUAUAUUGACACCACACAGAAACUAUUUCUAUUAAAAAAACCCAAACCACACACAUAUUCUGCCACAUUUGUUUUGGUUUGCGUGUUUUUGUGACAGAACCACCUAUCUCCCUUUGCUCUAAUUGUUUAUAAGGAGUUAAGGUUUAGAUCAAGUCAGAAAGAUUCUGCUUUAACAUUUAMAUUUCCUUUUCAAAACAUCUUCUGCCUUUGUACUCCUCUGUCUCACCAAAAGGUCAAGAUUCUUAUAYAAUAAAUAAGAAUUUGCUUACAAUUGUUACUUGAAUUGCACGGCCAAGUUAUAGGAGGCAAAUAUGACAACAAAUAUAGUUCAAUAAUCUGUGAAUGAACCAUUAAGUAAAGGAAAAAUGUUUCUUUGUUUACAUUUAUUCCAAAAUCUCAUGUCUUAGAUUUUUCUUUUUUUUGAAAACCCCURAAAUAAUGAUGCAGACAGAAAAGUUGGUGGUGGUGUUCAGAAAWGUUUGUGCAAUCCUCCUAAUUAUUAAUAGAAUUACAUAGUAAAAUUUGAAUCCUUUCAAUCAAAUUGAAAAAAAAAAUUAUAUACUUAGAGACCUUGUUCAACCACCCCAUCCACCUGAAUGUUGAAGUACCUGCAAUGAACCUGCUGCCACCCUCAACAAGCAGAUUACUGGAUACAUGCCUUGCUAUCAAAUGUAAAAUUCAGCGAUGCUGGUCACUAAGGUCAUAACCUAUGAAAAUACUGAGGCAGAUGCUGGGCUUCAAUGAAUAAAAUAACAUUUUAAAUUUAAACUUAAUAAUUCAUAUUAUUUAAAAGUUGGCACACUUUGGAUAGCUGCAUUUUCCCUCAUCUCAUCCCCWUAGCACAGCACAGCAGCCACACUGUCACCUUGCACCUCCAGCCUGUCCCAUUUAGCAGGGAUACUUUAUUGGACUUGUGGUCAGAAAACUCAUCACCUUCUGUGACCUUUUGUGGUCAUCUUCCAGUGAUGCCUCUGAGAUCCUAGUUACUGCUGUCACAUUGGGAAGGUGACAGAAACUCUUGAUAUCCAAGAACAGUGUGACGGUAGGUCUAAGAACUCCAAGUUAACUCACUAUUUUACGCUGUCCUUGUUCUGCACAUCAGCAUAGAGAAUUAAAAUGCCCCACUGUUCACAAUUUUAUUUAGGCUUCCUGUAUUGGGUCAAGAUCACAGUUCCAAUUCUACUCCCACCAGCUCUUGCUUUGCCCAUCAGGCUCUCACCCUGCAGAAGCUGAGGGCACUAAGUUUUUCUUAGUCUGCUCUGAAUGGUCUUAUGGUCAAUGGCCUAUUGAUACAGAAAUYAUUGAAAAUAACUACCACAGACACUGACCAAACAGGUGAAGCAGGAAAUUCUGUYAAAUUUCUUCUUUCAGAGAUAUAGUAUUUCUACAGAGAUGACAUUUUGACAUCAGAAGGUAUCAAACACCUUGAGUAAACAUUGAAUUUCUUCUUCAUUACACUCUGUGCUCUCAUUCAACUGACAUGAAU